UACGGGGGGAGCAAGCGUUGUUCGGAUUUACUGGGCGUAAAGGGCGCGUAGGCGGUCGUGACAAGUCACUUGUGAAAUCUCCGGGCUUAACUCGGAACGGUCAAGUGAUACUGUCGGACUAGAGUACAGAAGAGGCAACUGGAAUUCUCGGUGUAGCGGUGAAAUGCGUAGAUAUCGAGAGGAACACCUGCGGCGAAGGCGGGUUGCUGGGCUGAUACUGACGCUGAGGCGCGAAAGCCAGGGGAGCGAACGGG
rnacentral:rRNA from 1 species